rnacentral:pre_miRNA from 1 species
UCUUAUGGAUGAGCAAACAAAGUGGUUUAUUGAGAUGAAGUCCGCUCCUGGUGAAGAUGCUGUGAA